rnacentral:rRNA from 1 species
UGAGGAACAUGACUUUCGGCGGGGGAUAGCCGGCUCAACGGCCGGGUAAUACCGCGUACGACCUUUCGGGGACAUCCCCGGAUGGUGAAAGCAGCAAUGCGCCGAUGGAGUGCCUCGCGGCCUAUCAGCUAGUUGGUGGGGUAACGCUCACCAAGGCAACGACGGGUAGCUGGUCUGAGAGGAUGGCCAGCCACAUUGGGACUGAGACACGGCCCAGACUCC